AGUGAACGCUGGCGGCGUGCUUAACACAUGCAAGUCGAACGAGAACGGAAUAUAGCUUGCUAUAUUUGUCAGCUAAGUGGCGCACGGGUGAGUAAUGUAUAGAUAACCUGCCCUUAAGAAAGGUAUAACAGUUGGAAACGACUGCUAAUGCCCUAUAUGACUUUAAUACAUAAGUAUGCAAGGGAAACGCUUUAGUGCUUAAGGAUGGGUCUGUAUGGUAUCAGCUUGUUGGCAAGGUAAUGGCUCACCAAGGCUAUGACGCCUAACUGGUUUGAGAGGAUGAUCAGUCACACUGGAACUGGGACACGGUCCAGACGCCUACGGGAGGCAGCAGUGGGGAAUAUUGCACAAUGGACGAAAGUUUGAUGCAGCAACGCCGCGUGGAGGAUGACACAUUUCGGUGCGUAAACUCCGUUUAUAUAGGAAGAUAAUGACGGUACUAUAUGAAUAAGCACCGGCUAACUUCGUGCCAGCCGCCGCAGUAAAAC
rnacentral:rRNA from 1 species